UGGGGAAUUUUGGACAAUGGGCGAAAGCCUGAUCCAGCAAUGCCGCGUGUGUGGAGAAGGCCUUCGGGUUGUAAAGCACUUUUGUCCGGAAAGAAAUCCUUGGCUCUAAUACAGUCGGGGGAUGACGGUACCGGAAGAAUAAGCACCGGCUAACUACGUGCCAGCAGCCGCGGUAAUACGUAGGGUGCAAGCGUUAAUCGGAAUUACUGGGCGUAAAGCGUGCGCAGGCGGUUUGCUAAGACCGAUGUGAAAUCCCCGGGCUCAACCUGGGAACUGCAUUGGUGACUGGCAGGCUAGAGUAUGGCAGAGGGGGGUAGAAUUCCACGUGUAGCAGUGAAAUGCGUAGAGAUGUGGAGGAAUACCGAUGGCGAAGGCAGCCCCCUGGGCCAAUACUGACGCUUAUGCACGAAAGCGUGGGGAGCAAAACAGGAUUAGAUACCCUGGUAGUCCACGCCCUAAAACGAUGUCAACUAGUUGUUGGGGAUUCAUUUCCUUAGUAACGUAGCUAACGCGUGAAGUUGACCGCCUGGGGAGUACGGUCGCAAGAUUAAAACUCAAAUGAAUUGACGGGGUCAUAGCU
rnacentral:rRNA from 1 species